GAUGAAGAACGUAGCGAAAUGCGAUAAGUAAUGUGAAUUGCAGAAUUCAGUGAAUCAUCGAAUCUUUGAACGCACAUUGCGCCCUCUGGUAUUCCGGGGGGCAUGCCUGUUCGAGCGUCAUUAUAACCACUCAAGCUCUCGCUUGGUAUUGGGGUUCGCGGUUCCGCGGCCCCUAAAAUCAGUGGCGGUGCCUGUCGGCUCUACGCGUAGUAAUACUCCUCGCGAUUGAGUCCGGUAGGUCUACUUGCCAGCAACCCCCAAUUUUUACAGGUUGACCUCGGAUCAGGUAGGGAUACCCGCUGAACUUAAGCAUAUCAAGCGGAGGA
rnacentral:misc_RNA from 1 species